rnacentral:rRNA from 1 species
UACGGAGGGUGCAAGCGUUGUUCGGAAUUAUUGGGCGUAAAGCGCGCGCAGGCGGGGCGUCAAGUCCGAUGUGAAAUCCCUCGGCUCAACCGAGGACGUGCAUUGGAAACUGGCGCUCUUGAGUCCUGGAGAGGGUGGCGGAAUUCCCAGUGUAGAGGUGAAAUUCGUAGAUAUUGGGAGGAACACCAGUGGCGAAGGCGGCCACCUGGACAGUGACUGACGCUGAGGCGCGAAAGCAUGGGUAGCAAACAGG